UGGGGAAUCUUGCGCAAUGGACGAAAGUCUGACGCAGCCACGCCGCGUGAGUGAAGAAGGCCUUCGGGUUGUAAAGCUCUGUCGGAAGGGACAAAAACCAUUGAGGUUAAUAGCCUCAGUGCUUGAUGGUACCUUUAAAGGAAGCACCGGCUAACUUCGUGCCAGCAGCCGCGGUAAUACGAAGGGUGCAAGCGUUGCUCGGAAUUAUUGGGCGUAAAGGGUAGGUAGGUGGUUACGUAUGUCUGAGGUGAAAUCCCCGAGCUUAACUUGGGAAGUGCCUUGGAAACGGCGUAACUAGAGUACUAGAGAGGUUCGUGGAAUUCCCAGUGUAGCGGUGAAAUGCGUAGAGAUUGGGAGGAACACCAGAGGCGAAAGCGACGAACUGGAUAGGCACUGACAC
rnacentral:rRNA from 1 species